rnacentral:rRNA from 1 species
GAGCUUGAUUGCAAGACAUACAGGUCGAGCAAGGAUGAAAAUCGGACUUAGUGAUCCGGUGGUUCUGCGUGGAAGGGCCAUCGCUCAACGGAUAAAAGCUACCCUGGGGAUAACAGGCUUAUCUCCCCCAAGAGUCCACAUCGACGGGGAGGUUUGGCACCUCGAUGUCGGCUCAUCACAUCCUGGGGCUGUAGUAGGUCCCAAGGGUUGGGCUGUUCGCCCAUUAAAGUGGUACGCGAGCUGGGUUCAGAACGUCGUGAGACAGUUCGGUCCCUAUCCGUCGCAGGCGUAGGAAAUUUGAGAAGACCUGUCCUUAGUACGAGAGGACCGGGAUGGACGUACCUCUGGUGUACCAGUUGUUCUGCCAAGGGCAUGGCUGGGUAGCUAUGUACGGAAUGGAUAAGCGCUGAAAGCAUCUAAGCGCGAAGCCAACUUCAAGAUAAGAUUUCCCACCGCAAGGGUAAGACCCCAGAAAGACUAUCUGGUUGAUAGGUCGAAGGUGUAAGUGCAGCAAUGUAUUUAGCUUAUCGAUACUAAUAGGUCGAGGACUUGACCAAAUU